rnacentral:rRNA from 1 species
AUUGAACGCUGGCGGCAGGCCUAACACAUGCAAGUCGAGCGGAUGAAGGGAGCUUGCUCCUGGAUUCAGCGGCGGACGGGUGAGUAAUGCCUAGGAAUCUGCCUGGUAGUUGGGGAUAACGUCCGGAAACGGGCGCUAAUACCGCAUACGUCCUGAGGGAGAAAGUGGGGGAUCUUCGGACCUCACGCUAUCAGAUGAGCCUAGGUCGGAUUAGCUAGUUGGUGGGGUAAAGGCCUACCAAGGCGACGAUCCGUAACUGGUCUGAGAGGAUGAUCAGUCACACUGGAACUGAGACACGGUCCAGACUCCUACGGGAGGCAGCAGUGGGGAAUAUUGGACAAUGGGCGAAAGCCUGAUCCAGCCAUGCCGCGUGUGUGAAGAAGGUCUUCGGAUUGUAAAGCACUUUAAGUUGGGAGGAAGGGCAGUAAGUUAAUACCUUGCUGUUUUGACGGUACCAACAGAAUAAGCACCGGCUAACUUCGUG